GACGAACGCUGGCGGCGUGCUUAACACAUGCAAGUCGAACGGAAAGGCCCUGCUUUUGUGGGGUGCUCGAGUGGCGAACGGGUGAGUAACACGUGAGUAACCUGCCCUUGACUUUGGGAUAACUUCAGGAAACUGGGGCUAAUACCGGAUAGGAGCUCCUGCUGCAUGGUGGGGGUUGGAAAGUUUCGGCGGUUGGGGAUGGACUCGCGGCUUAUCAGCUUGUUGGUGGGGUAGUGGCUUACCAAGGCUUUGACGGGUAGCCGGCCUGAGAGGGUGACCGGCCACAUUGGAACUGGAAUACGGCCCAGACCCCUACGGGAGGCAGCAGUGGAGAAUAUUGCACAAUGGGCGGAAGCCUGAUGCAGCAACGCCGCGUGCGGGAUGACGGCCUUCGGGUUGUAAACCGCUUUCGCCUGUGACGAAGCGUGAGUGACGGUAAUGGGUAAAGAAGCACCGGCUAACUACGU
rnacentral:rRNA from 1 species